rnacentral:tRNA from 1 species
AGAGGCUUAAGUUAACACAAAACUGUGGGCCUUCAAAGCCCAAAUUAAGCCAAAUAAGGCUUAGCCUCUG